GGAUUAGUGAUGAGUCUAUGGAUGGCCCACUAGUAAAUUUUCAUUUAUAUCAAAUUAUAAUUUCUCAAAACUAAGCGCUUUAAAAAAAUACUUUGUAGGCAUAUUAGCACCAGUCAUAGGGCCAUUAUUGUUGAAUUAUAAUAUGAAUAAAAAUAAUAUAUUGUAAUUUUUCAAUUACCUUCACAGUGACAGUGCUGUCAGACUGCCAGUGCAAGCAGCCGUGAGACAUCACAAACAACGCGGAUUCUUCGGCCAGGAAGAUAAAAAUUAGACGUGCUAGCUUCUUGUUAUUUUCUCUCUCUAGACAUCUUUAUUUUUGAAGAGAAAUUACUUAUCUAAAGGUAUAUUUUAGCAAAAAAAUACAUUUCCAAACUGAAAUAUUUCAUCUCAAGAAGGCCAUGAAAAAUUUGUACGCCAGCAAUGAAUUGGUCAGCGCCAAGGCAAAUUCGCUUUCGCGCAUGCACUAAAAUGUCCAUGAAUCGUGGAGAUUUUCGCAGCC